UUUUCUGUCUUUCCUUUCCUGUCUCCUUCCAUCUGGAGUCAAGGGUGAAACCACUGCACUGCAGACCAUUGAGUGCUGAGAGGAACGGAGUUAGCAUUGCCGAGCACCUCUGCUAUUGUAGUCACUCUGCCCUUGCUUCUAGGACAUUGGAGGAAAGAGAGGAAAAUAUAGUAUAUCACUUUACCUGUCUGCACUAUAUUGCGUGAUGUGGAAAAGUCACUGAAUUUCUUCAUUCAUCAGUUUCUACAUCUUCAACCAAAGGGGUUGAGCCUGAUGGUAAUUGGUUUCUCAUUGUUGUGACACUCUGAGACACAUAUAUGGGGAUGGAUAUCCUCCAUAGAGAAAGCAUGAUGAUGGUUUUGAUGCUGAGAAAUUGACUUUCUAUGAACUGAAAGAUUUUACAUUUAUUCUUACUAUAGAGUUGGGCUAUUGCUAUUGUGUCAGUUCUCUAAUUUCAACUUAUAGAGACAGCUACACUGGGCUUUGUGGUUUCUUGUGUCCUUAUUUAUGAACUUGGUGCAUAAAACCCUUCUUCAUCUGUUUAGAAGACUGAGGCAGCUAAUCCUUUAUCGACCACUCAUGAUUCUAACACACGUGUUAUGCAAACACAGUGAGGUCUUUAUGCAUGAGGAGGCCUUGGCUGUGACAGAGCUAUGACAACUCACACUCAGGCUGUGUCCUUUGUACUGUCCCUGGGGCUGCUGACUUUCCUUCUCACUGCCUCAGAGUAAAACUUCUCGCUUCUGUCAGAUGGCAGGUAAAGGAGGAAACUGGCUCUAGGGCCUACCCUGGGCCCUGUUGUCCCAGUACACCCAGAAGCCAAGGAGGAUGAAUCCCUAAAGCUCAGCUAGGGAUGGUAAAGGCUCUUCAGCCUUCUCCAUAGUGGCUCUGUAGCCCUCAGGUUUCUCUAUGACUGACUUUUUGGAGAAGCCAGAAAAGGAAAACCAAGAAUCUCACUGAGGUGAACACAUGCUUUAUUUCAGCUUCACAAUGGAGUGAGACAGUUUUUGGGAGGCACAUCAACCUGCAGGUAUAGAUGAGGCUGCAGAUUCUUUUCCGGGGCUGCUAGAGUAGAGUCAUCUGGGGAGUGAAAGAAAUGCAUCACCCACUGUGUAUAUUUACCUGGAUGGUUGGGGAAGAAACACUCAUCAAUCCACAGGAUGUGGUCACGUGAGGAGGGAGAGAAUCAAGGCAAAGGGCUUGAAAUGCCAUGCCUCAUUUCAUUUUUCAUAUGUCAGUAAUUGGUGCCGUCAUCUUCCUGUUCGUGGUGUAAGGCUUGGUCUUUUCAGGACUGCUUCCUUGCUAAACCCUCCCGUCCACUCCCCAACACACUUUGUACUAAUUAAUGACAUUUCAUCGCUUGGUUUUGAAAAAUGAAAGUGUGAACUACUUGUGAAAGAGCUCUUAGCAAGAUAAGGAAGAAAAAAAUGAUUCCUUAUCCCCCCAACCUAUAGAAAAGCUGGUAUAUAUGUCUUAAGAAUAUGCAUGAAAAUGUUAUUUCUAACAGGGAUAGUGCAGCAAGCAUCCACACUCCAAAUAUUGGUCUCCCUGCCUGCACGCAGGUCUUUGCUGAAAUGUCACCUUCUCAUUGUAUCCGUUCUUGACAACCUGAUUUAAAAUUGUAAUUUCUCCAAGCCUGCCGACAACCCUCUCUCUCUCCUCGCCUGUUUUACUCCUCUCCAUGGCAAUUAUCUCCAUCUGACAUAUAUUUUACUUAUUUUAUUUUAUGUUUAUUUCUACUAAAAUAUAAGCUCCUGAGAUUCUGAGAGCUGUGCUUCCAUUGUGUCUAGAAAAGCGUCUGGCGCAUACGAGGUACUUAAUAAAUUGUUACCGAAUGAA